GAUGAACGCUAGCGGCAGGCCUAAUACAUGCAAGUCGAACGGGAUUGAGGAGCUUGCUCCUCAUGAGAGUGGCGCACGGGUGCGUAACACGUAUGUAACCUACCUUAAUCAGGGGAAUAGCCUCUCGAAAGAGAGAUUAAGACCGCAUAAAAUCACACUAUGGCAUCAUAGAAUGAUCAAAUAUUUAUAGGAUUAAGAUGGGCAUGCGGAACAUUAGCUAGUUGGUAAGGUAACGGCUUACCAAGGCUACGAUGUUUAGGGGAUCUGAGAGGAUGGCCCCCCACACUGGUACUGAGACACGGACCAGACUCCUACGGGAGGCAGCAGUAAGGAAUAUUGGUCAAUGGGCGGAAGCCUGAACCAGCCAUGCCGCGUGCAGGAAGACGGCCCUACGGGUUGUAAACUGCUUUUGUACCGGAAUAAACCUACUUACGUGUAAGUAGCUGAAUGUACGGUAAGAAUAAGGAUCGGCUAACUCCGUGCCAGCAGCCGCCGUAACAC
rnacentral:rRNA from 1 species